AUGCGGCCUCUUAAGAAUUAUACUUUGAGCUAUCCAUUGACAUAUUGGAAGAGGGUGUACGUUAGAAAAUAUAUGCUAAUUACCUGUAAUUAUGCCGAACGACGAAACACGGUUUACACUUGUUAUCUCGUCCAAGACGGCAAAGAGACCACCAGUAAGGAAGCAAAGUCGCGGAAUUAUAGAUCCACUGAUCGCGAUGAAUAAGGGUACUCGGAUAGAUCAUCAAAUCGUUGAAGGCCGUCAGCAAAAUAUCGUUCGUCGCGUUCCCAUAAAAUAAUGAGAGAAAGCAUGGUUUUUUUUAGAGGACUCCAUAAAGUUCAUGAGAUUGUGUUGGAUACCUCCAAUUAAGGCAUAGCCAGUGAUAUUGAUAAGACUCGACUGAUCUUACUGGUGAGUGCAAAUGCUUUGAUGUGAUUAUCUAUAGAUUUCUUUCGAACUAUCCACGAAGAUAUUAAUGAAUUAGGAAAGGGAAAUGGAAAGGUAGAAAUUUAAAUAAAAACCAUUGCUACGGUGCGAAUGACUGCAUAUAAUAUUUUAAAUAAUUAUUCUAGAUUAAUUGUUAUAGAUUAAUUAUUCUAGUUUCUCUCAGAUGGAACCCUUGAGUGAGGCUCUCGAGUGUAGGUCCUUGGGUGGGGCCUUGGGCGGGGCCUUGGGCGGGCACUUUCUUUCGAAAGGGAAGAAUCGAACUCUUUCCGUUCUAACGUACGCGUGCGUUUUUUGACAUUUUUCGAAUUUAUUCAGAUUUCUCUCUCGUCGAGGGAUCGAUUUAUCAUCGAUGGACAGAGUUCUCGUUAACGAAUUGAUUAAUUGUCGAUAAAGCAUUCAUUUCAUCAGACGAUCCAAUAACGAAGAUUUUUUUUAAUUGCAUUAAUGAUAGACUAAAUAGCUGAAUUUAAAAACUUUUUAUUUAUUUAA